rnacentral:snRNA from 1 species
GUAUUAACUUCGGCGGUACAUUUACUAAAAUUGGAACGAUACAAAUAAAGUUAGCAUGGCCUCUGUGAAAGAAUGUAACGCAAAGUCGAGAAGCGUUCCAUAGUCUU